UACGUAGGGUGCAAGCGUUAAUCGGAAUUACUGGGCGUAAAGCGUGCGCAGGCGGUGCGCCAAGCUCGAUGUGAAAGCCCCGGGCUUAACCUGGGAACUGCGCUUGUUACUGGCAGGCUUGAGUGUGGCAGAGGGGGGUGGAAUUCCACGUGUAGCAGUGAAAUGCGUAGAGAUGUGGAGGAACACCGAUGGCGAAGGCAGCCCCCUGGGCUAACACUGACGCUCAUGCACGAAAGCGUGGGGAGCAAACAGG
rnacentral:rRNA from 1 species